rnacentral:rRNA from 1 species
AUUGAACGCUGGCGGCAGGCCUAACACAUGCAAGUCGAACGAGUGGCGGACGGGUGAGUAAUGUCUGGGAAACUGCCUGAUGGAGGGGGAUAACUACUGGAAACGGUAGCUAAUACCUCCUCCCAUCGGAUGUGCCCAGAUGGGAUUAGCUAGUAGGGGGGGUAAAGGCUCACCUGGGCGACGAUCCCUAGCUGGUCGGAGAGGAUGACCAGCAACACGGGAACUGAGAUACGGGCCAGACUCGUACGGGAGGCAGAAGUGGGGAAGAUUGGACAAUGGGCACAAGCCUGAAGCAGCCAUGCCGCGUGUGUGAAGAAGGCCUUCGGGUUGUAAAGUACUUUCAGCGGGGAGGCGUUACCCGCAGAAGAAGCACCGGCUAACUCCGUGCCAGCAGCCGCGGUAAUUC